rnacentral:tRNA from 1 species
CUAGGAGUGGAGCAGUUGGCAGCUCGUCGGGCUCAUAUCCCGAAGGUCGUAGGUUCAAGUCCUGCCUCCGCAACCA